rnacentral:rRNA from 1 species
CAGUAGCCGCGGUAAUACAGAGGGUGCGAGCGUUAAUCGGAUUUACUGGGCGUAAAGCGUGCGUAGGCGGCUUUUUAAGUCGGAUGUGAAAUCCCUGAGCUUAACUUAGGAAUUGCAUUCGAUACUGGGAAGCUAGAGUAUGGGAGAGGAUGGUAGAAUUCCAGGUGUAGCGGUGGAAUGCGUAGAGAUCUGGAGGAAUACCGAUGGCGAAGGCAGCCAUCUGGCCUAAUACUGACGCUGAGGUACGAAAGCAUGGGGAGCAAACAGGAUUAGAUACCCCGGUAGUCCCUGUCUCUUAUAC